rnacentral:rRNA from 1 species
UACAGAGGGUGCAAGCGUUGUUCGGAAUUAUUGGGCGUAAAGGGAGUGUAGGCGGUCCAUUAAGUCUUCUGUGAAAUCUACGGGCUUAGCCUGUAACGUGCAGAGGAAACUGAUGGACUUGAGUGUCGGAGAGGAUAGGGGAAUACCCGGUGUAGAGGUGAAAUUCGUAGAGAUCGGGUGGAACACCAGUGGCGAAGGCGCCUGUCUGGCUGACAACUGACGCUGAGACUCGAAAGCAUGGGGAGCAAACAGG